CUUGCCACACGCAAAGGGUUUAGACGCACCAAUGAGACUCCUUGCCGCUUAACGGCACAUUUUUUUGCCUGCUUUCAAUAAAUAACAAAAUGACAGCAGCAAUCGGGGAAACCAAAAGGGAAACUUGACUCAAAAAUUUAAAGGAAGCUUUUUAAAUCAGGUCAAGCGCUGGAAAGAAAUCGUAAACUUGUUCAAUUAUUCUAUUGUAUUGCUAUUGCGAGGCUAGUCUGUCAGAGACUCAAACAAAAUAUCUCUCGGUAUUAAAAAUCACAGAAUUCGCGCGCUGACAUGGAAAUGCUUGUCAUUAAUUUGCCAACGAAUGCAAAGGAAAAGAAGUUUGACGUAAGAGAG